rnacentral:rRNA from 1 species
UACGGAGGGUGCAAACGUUGCUCGGAAUUAUUGGGCGUAAAGCGCACGUAGGCGGCUUGGCAAGUCGGAUGUGAAAUCCCUCGGCUCAACCAAGGAAGUGCAUCCGAAACUGCUGAGCUUGAGUACUUAAGAGGAUCGCGGAGUUCCCGGUGUAGAGGUGAAAUUCGUAGAUAUCGGGAGGAACACCAGUGGCGAAGGCGGCGAUCUGGGAAGAUACUGACGCUGAGGUGCGAAAGCGUGGGGAGCAAACAGG